GUUUAUAUCAGCAUCCCACGUGAAUGUCAGAAAGCACUUACUUUCAAAGCACUGCUGUUGUACAAAUACGCUCUUGGUGCAGAAGCGCUCUGUCAGUGACAAGCAGCUCCUUGCCAAGAUGAGAGCAAACCUGGCAGAGGCUUCUUCCUCCUGUUCCACCCGGUUUUGCGCAAGUUUCUGACGGGCUUUUAGCCCUGAGUCUCUAACUAGAGUCAGCUGGCUGAUGCUGAAAUCGCUGUUGUUUAAGGUCAGCAAAGGCCUUGGUUUUAAUUCAGUUGUUUUUUGUGGUUUUUUUUUCUCCUUGAUUCUAAGCCUGUUUCUGUUGGGUUACUGCAUAACCGAGGCCUCUGACAAAGCACACAUCCCUAAGAUUGCUUUCUCUGGGAUGAGCUCAGUUUGAAAAGAAAGUUGCCAAGUUGCAGCAACAGCAUCUGCAUUCUGGGUUAAAAAAAACUGCUUAAUGAUUUCGGGUUCAACUGUGUCACUGAAGGCUUAAAGAAGCAUUUCUACAACAAAAACAGACGAUGCCAAACUCAAGAUGUUGAAUAUAAUAUGCUCAGUAAACAAAACAUGAAGACCUGACUGUGGCAUCCAUCGUCUCAAGCUGGAUGACCGGGCCAGAAACUCACUGUGGUAUAUGUGACACGGACAUAAAGGAGUGGAUCUUCUCUCCCCACUCCAAGUGUUGGAUCAGGACAAGUUGGAUCAAUUUAUUGAUCUAAUGGGAAAGGAAUCAUUUGAGAGGAUUGAUGUCAUAUUUUCUACCAGAUUAGCAAACGAAUCUAAUUGACCACGCACUGCAAGAUCACUAUGGAGGCAAAUAAAUAAAUAAAUAAAUAAAUGCUUAUUUAGAGAUGGGGGAAAAAGAGAACGUCCAAAGGAAGGAUUCAGAGUUCCUUGUGGGUCCCUUCCAAUUCAGGAUAUUCUAUGAUUCUAUGAUUAAAAAGGGACCCGCCAUUCAGAAAUCGCUUCCUUAUUAGAAUGUGCAAUGUAAUACUGCAGCCCCAGCAAUGGUCUUUUCUUGUCAUGUUAAAUUUUAUAUUGUCUUGCUAGCUAAACAGCAUAAAAAUGUACAGUCACAGACAACUCUGUAAUACUACCUCAUCCAAUUUCAUUCAUAUUGACAGAAUACAUAGAAUCAGACCUGAUGAACACAAGACUGUGAACAGGUCUUAGGUGGAAUGUCAAAACUGCCAUUCUCUCCCUGCUUCGGAGGUUGCUGGCUUAGGUUUAGCCCUCUUUUUCUUGGCUCACCAUUUGUUGUCACCUCAUACCUGUUGGGAGAGGUGUGGGUGGAUUUCUCUGAGUCUUAGUCAAUGCAUGCUCUCCCAGUGCUGGUUUUUAAUUAAUCCCAUUUAAAGGGAUUAUUGCUUUUGUGGACUGGGUUCUAUUGCCUCAGGAAUUUUAAGUAUUUUGAUUAUGACUACAUUACUGAGCUGAAAUGAUUAAAAAAAAAAAAAAUUGUAAACUUAGUGCUCUGAUGUCUUCCCUGACCCUGAGGGAGCUGCUAGAAAAGCUACUGUCUUCGAGAGGAGAAAGAGGAAAGAAAAAAGUGAGCUCAAAUUGGAGAACCAUGGAAAAGAGUUCAGAGGAGCCAGAUUUUCACUUUAUCCCAAACUCUCAGGGAUGAGAGGUCAUUACACUGCUGGGAGGGCUCUGUUCCUCAUCCUGCCUCACACUCACAGCAACAACUUGCUCCACAUCUUCCAUCUGCUUCCGAUCAGUGACAGGAGCAACAGGCAUAUCAGGCCAUAGGGGCAGAAGGCAGAGAGCAGUUGUUCGCUAG
ensembl:lncRNA